rnacentral:rRNA from 1 species
CUGAGAGGGUGAUCGGCCACACUGGGACUGAGACACGGCCCAGACUCCUACGGGAGGCAGCAGUAGGGAAUCUUCCGCAAUGGACGAAAGUCUGACGGAGCAACGCCGCGUGAGUGAUGAAGGCUUUCGGGUCGUAAAACUCUGUUGUUAGGGAAGAACAAGUGCUAGUUGAAUAAGCUGGCACCUUGACGGUACCUAACCAGAAAGCCACGGCUAACUACGUGCCAGCAGCCGCGGUAAUACGUAGGUGGCAAGCGUUAUCCGGAAUUAUUGGGCGUAAAGCGCGCGCAGGUGGUUUCUUAAGUCUGAUGUGAAAGCCCACGGCUCAACCGUGGAGGGUCAUUGGAAACUGGGAGACUUGAGUGCAGAAGAGGAAAGUGGAAUUCCAUGUGUAGCGGUGAAAUGCGUAGAGAUAUGGAGGAACACCAGUGGCGAAGGCGACUUUCUGGUCUGUAACUGACACUGAGGCGCGAAAGCGUGGGGAGCA